GACGAACGCUGGCGGCGUGCUUAACACAUGCAAGUCGAACGAGUGGCGAACGGGUGAGUAACACGUGGGUGACCUGCCCUGCACUUCGGGAUAAGCCUGGGAAACUGGGUCUAAUACCGGAUAGUGUGGGAUGGGCCCGCGGCCUAUCAGCUUGUUGGUGGGGUAAUGGCUACCAAGGCGCGACGGGUAGCCGGCCUGAGAGGGUGGACGGCCACAUGGGGACUGAGACACGGCCCAGACUCCUACGGGAGGCAGCAGUGGGGAAUAUUGCACAAUGGGCGGAAGUCUGACGGAGCAACGCCGCGUGAGUGAUGACGGCCUUCGGGUUGUAAAGCUCUGUUAAUCGGGACGCGGUACCUGAAUAGAAAGCCACGGCUAACUACGUGCCAGCAGCCGCGGUAAUAC
rnacentral:rRNA from 1 species